rnacentral:rRNA from 1 species
UCAGUCCUACGGGGCGCAGCAGUAGGGAAUCUUCCACAAUGGACGAAAGUCUGAUGGAGCAACGCCGCGUGAGUGAAGAAGGGUUUCGGCUCGUAAAGCUCUUUUGGUAGUGAAGAAAAAUAGAGGUAGUAACUUGCCUUUAUUUGACGGUAAUUACUUAGAAAGUCACGGCUAACUUCGUGCCAGCAGCCGCGGGUAUACGUAGGUGGCAAGCGUUGUCCGGAUUUAUU